rnacentral:misc_RNA from 1 species
UGAGUUCAAGCGAGAGAUUUAUGUGGUGCAAGCACAUGGAUCUGAUGCAAUGGUUGAUGAAGAGAAUUGUGUUUUCUUCCUCCCACAUCGUCCAAGAAGUGAAAUUUGUGAAGUUCCUUUCUUCCUAUUUAUGAAAGGAACAGGUUGGUGUGGUGCUGGAGCUGACCACUAUGAGCCAUUGAUUGGCCAUCCUUCUUCUCUUGUUUCCAAUGAGAAGUUUGCUGUAGUACUUUGAGGUAGUCCUACAGUUUUGCGGCUUAGAAGUUGAAUAGAAGUAGUUACAUUAUUUUCCCUCAUAUUAUUCGAUAUCCAAUGUUAUUAGCCUGAUUCUUUUGAGGAUCAGGAGGAUUUUUUUUUUUUUUUAAUUUUUUGUUGAGGUCAUGUAGAAUUGAUCUUUUGACUCUAGCUUGUAGGUUUGCUGCCUGCAAUUGAGCAAUCUUGUAGUAUUGGUGUAAUGGUUUUGCCGGCUUCUGUUUAUUGCUGUUGUUGAGUUUUCAGAAGGUUGCUUGAGUUGUAUAAGGGUACUAUUCUGUCUAAGCUGGAAUAGCACCAUUCUGUUGUAUUUUGAGCUGGAUUAAUCUAUUCAAUGAUAGAUUGUAGAAGUGAUUUUCCCCCAAAAAACAACAGAAUGGUGCUAUUCCAGCUUAGA